CCUACGGGAGGCAGCAGUAGGGAAUCUUCCACAAUGGGCGCAAGCCUGAUGGAGCAACACCGCGUGAGUGAAGAAGGGUUUCGGCUCGUAAAGUUCUGUUGUUGGAGAAGAACGUGCGUGAGAGUAACUGUUCACGCAGUGACGGUAUCUACCCAGAAAGUACCGGCUAACUACGUGCCAGCAGCCGCGGUAAUACGUAGGUGGCAAGCGUUAUCCGGAUUUACUGGGCGUAAAGCGAGCGCAGGCGGUUGCGUAGGUCAGAAGUGAAAGACUUCGGCUUAACCGAAGAAGUGCAACGGAAACCGGGCGACUUGAGUGCAAGAGAGGACAGUGGAACUCCAUGUGUAGCGGUGGAAUGCGUAGAUAUAUGGAGGAACACCAAUGGCGAAGGCGGCUGUCUGGUCUGCAACUGACGCUGAGGCUCGAAAGCAUGGGUAGCGAACAGGAUUAGAUACCCUUGUAGUC
rnacentral:rRNA from 1 species